rnacentral:rRNA from 1 species
GACGAACGCUGGCGGCGUGCUUAACACAUGCAAGUCGAGCGGUAAGGCCCUUUCGGGGGUACACGAGUGGCGAACGGGUGAGUAACACGUGGGUGACCUGCCCUCAGCUCUGGGAUAAGCCUGGGAAACCGGGUCUAAUACUGGAUAUGACUCCAUGACGCAUGUUGUGGGGUGAAAGCCUUGUGCGGCUGAGGAUGGGCCCGCGGCCUAUCAGCUUGUUGGUGGGGUGAUGGCCUACCAAGGCGACGACGGGUAGCCGGCCUGAGAGGGCGACCGGCCACACUGGGACUGAGA